GAGUUUGAUCCUGGCUCAGAAUCAACGCUGGCGGCGUGCCUCAGACAUGCAAGUCGAACGCGAAAGGCCCUUUCGGGGGCCGAGUAGAGUGGCGCACGGGUGAGUAACACGUGGGUAAUUUGCCUUCGGGUGGGGAAUAGCGGCUGGAAACGGCCAUUAAUACCGCAUAAUGCAGCGGCUCGACAUCGAGACAGUUGUUAAAGCGGGGGAUCGUAAGACCUCGCGCCUGAAGAGAAGCCCGCGGCGGAUUAGCUAGUUGGUAAGGUAAUGGCUUACCAAGGCAAAGAUGCCUAGCGGGUGUGAGAGCACGACCCGCGCCACUGGCACUGAGACACUGGCCAGACUCCUACGGGAGGCUGCAGUCGAGGAUCUUCGGCAAUGGGCGCAAGCCUGACCGAGCGACGCCGCGUGUGCGAUGAAGGCCUUCGGGUUGUAAAGCACUGUCGAGGGGGAGGAAAGCCGCAAGGUCUGACCUAUCCCUGGAGGAAGCACGGGCUAAGUUCGUGCCAGCAGCCGCGGUAAGACGAACCGUGCAAACGUUGUUCGGAAUCACUGGGCUUAAAGGGCGCGUAGGCGGGCCAUCAAGUCCGGGGUGAAAUCUUUCGGCUCAACCGGAAAAGUGCCUUGGAUACUGGUGGUCUUGAGGGAGGUAGGGGCAUGUGGAACUUCCGGUGGAGCGGUGAAAUGCGUUGAUAUCGGAAGGAACUCCGGUGGCGAAAGCGACGUGCUGGACCUCUUCUGACGCUGAGGCGCGAAAGCUAGGGGAGCGAACGGGAUUAGAUACCCCGGUAGUCCUAGCCCUAAACGAUGGGUACUAGGUAGUAGACUUAACAUGGGUUUACUGCCGAAGCAAAAGUGGUAAGUACCCCGCCUGGGGAGUAUGGUCGCAAGGCUGAAACUCAAAGGAAUUGACGGGGGCUCACACAAGCGGUGGAGCAUGUGGCUUAAUUCGAUGCAACGCGAAGAACCUUACCUGGCCUUGACAUCUGUCGAAUCCUUCAGAGAUGAGGGAGUGCCUUCGGGAACGACAAGACAGGUGCUGCAUGGCUGUCGUCAGCUCGUGUCGUGAGGUGUUGGGUUAAGUCCCGCAACGAGCGCAACCCUUGCCCUUAGUUGCCAGCAUUUAGUUGGGAACUCUAAGGGGACCGCCGGUGACAAACCGGAGGAAGGUGGGGAUGACGUCAAGUCAUCAUGGCCCUUAUGGCCAGGGCUACACACGUGCUACAAUGGUCGGUACAGAGGGUUGCCAAGUCGCGAGACGGAGCUAAUCCCAGAAAGCCGAUCGUAGUCCGGAUUGCAGUCUGCAACUCGACUGCAUGAAGUCGGAAUCGCUAGUAAUCGCGGAUCAGCAUGUCGCGGUGAAUACGUUCCCGGGUCUUGCACACAC
rnacentral:rRNA from 1 species